rnacentral:rRNA from 1 species
UCCGGCCCGUUAACGACGCUCAUGCUCGAAGGCGCGGGUAUCAAACAGGAUUAGAUACCCUGGUAGUCCGCGCGGUAAACGAUGAGUGCUCGGGAUUUGGGCAUUAGCCUGAGUCCCCCAGCGAAAGCGUUAAGCACUCCACCUGGGGAGUACGCCGGCAACGGUGAAACUCAAAGGAAUUGACGGGGGCCCGCACAAGCGGAGGAACAUGUGGUUUAAUUCGAUGAUACGCGAGGAACCUUACCCGGGCUUGAAAUGUGCAUGACGACCCCGAGAGACCGGGGUCUCCUUCGGGCAUGCAUGUAGGUGCUGCAUGGUUGUCGUCAGCUCGUGCCGUGAGGUGUCGGCUCAAGUGCCAUAACGAGCGCAACCCCUUCCGCCGGUUACCAUCGGGUUAUGCCGGGGACUCCGGCGGCACUGCCGCCGCAAGGCGUGAGGAAGGCGGGGAUGACGUCAAAUCAGCACGGCCCUCACGUCCGGGGCCACACACGUGUUACAAUGGGGGGCACAGCGAGCAGGACCAGGGCGACCUGGUUCGAAUCAACAAAUCCCCUCCCAGUUCGGACUGGAGUCUGCAACCCGACUCCACGAAGCCGGAUU